UACGUAGGGUGCGAGCGUUGUCCGGAAUUAUUGGGCGUAAAGAGCUCGUAGGCGGUUUGUUGCGUCGGCCGUGAAAACUUCACGCUUAACGUGGAGCUUGCGGUCGAUACGGGCAGACUUGAGUUCGGUAGGGGAGACUGGAAUUCCUGGUGUAGCGGUGAAAUGCGUAGAUAUUGGGAGGAACACCAGUGGCGAAGGCGGCUACCUGGACCGGUUCUGACGCUGAUGCGCGAAAGCGUGGGUAGCAAACAGG
rnacentral:rRNA from 1 species